UAACACUUGGAAACAGGUGCUAAUACCGUAUAACAAUCGAAACCGCAUGGUUUUGAUUUGAAAGGCGCUUUCGGGUGUCGCUGAUGGAUGGACCCGCGGUGCAUUAGCUAGUUGGUGAGGUAACGGCUCACCAAGGCCACGAUGCAUAGCCGACCUGAGAGGGUGAUCGGCCACAUUGGGACUGAGACACGGCCCAAACUCCUACGGGAGGCAGCAGUAGGGAAUCUUCGGCAAUGGACGAAAGUCUGACCGAGCAACGCCGCGUGAGUGAAGAAGGUUUUCGGAUCGUAAAACUCUGUUGUUAGAGAAGAACAAGGAUGAGAGUAACUGUUCAUCCCUUGACGGUAUCUAACCAGAAAGCCACGGCUAACUACGUGCCAGCAGCCGCGGUAAUACGUAGGUGGCAAGCGUUGUCCGGAUUUAUUGGGCGUAAAGCGAGCGCAGGCGGUUUCUUAAGUCUGAUGUGAAAGCCCCCGGCUCAACCGGGGAGGGUCAUUGGAAACUGGGAGACUUGAGUGCAGAAGAGGAGAGUGGAAUUCCAUGUGUAGCGGUGAAAUGCGUAGAUAUAUGGAGGAACACCAGUGGCGAAGGCGGCUCUCUGGUCUGUAACUGACGCUGAGGCUCGAAAGCGUGGGGAGCAAACAGGAUUAGAUACCCUGGUAGUCCACGCCGUAAACGAUGAGUGCUAAGUGUUGGAGGGUUUCCGCCCUUCAGUGCUGCAGCUAACGCAUUAAGCACUCCGCCUGGGGAGUACGACCGCAAGGUUGAAACUCAAAGGAAUUGACGGGGGCCCGCACAAGCGGUGGAGCAUGUGGUUUAAUUCGAAGCAACGCGAAGAACCUUACCAGGUCUUGACAUCCUUUGACCACUCUAGAGAUAGAGCUUCCCCUUCGGGGGCAAAGUGACAGGUGGUGCAUGGUUGUCGUCAGCUCGUGUCGUGAGAUGUUGGGUUAAGUCCCGCAACGAGCGCAACCCUUAUUGUUAGUUGCCAUCAUUCAGUUGGGCACUCUAGCAAGACUGCCGGUGACAAACCGGAGGAAGGUGGGGAUGACGUCAAAUCAUCAUGCCCCUUAUGACCUGGGCUACACACGUGCU
rnacentral:rRNA from 1 species